rnacentral:rRNA from 1 species
AGAGUUUGAUCAUGGCUCAGAACGAACGCUGGCGGCAGGCUUAACACAUGCAAGUCGAGCGCCUCGCAAGAGGAGCGGCAGACGGGUGAGUAACGCGUGGGAAUCUACCCAUCUCUACGGAACAACUCCGGGAAACUGGAGCUAAUACCGUAUACGUCCUUCGGGAGAAAGAUUUAUCGGAGAUGGAUGAGCCCGCGUUGGAUUAGCUAGUUGGUGGGGUAAUGGCCUACCAAGGCGACGAUCCAUAGCUGGUCUGAGAGGAUGAUCAGCCACACUGGGACUGAGACACGGCCCAGACUCCUACGGGAGGCAGCAGUGGGGAAUAUUGGACAAUGGGCGCAAGCCUGAUCCAGCCAUGCCGCGUGAGUGAUGAAGGCCCUAGGGUUGUAAAGCUCUUUCAACGGUGAAGAUAGUGACGGUAACCGUAGAAGAAGCCCCGGCUAACUUCGUGCCAGCAGCCGCGGUAAUACGAAGGGGGCUAGCGUUGUUCGGAAUUACUGGGCGUAAAGCGCACGUAGGCGGAUUGUUAAGUUAGGGGUGAAAUCCCAGGGCUCAACCCUGGAACUGCCUUUAAUACUGGCAAUCUCGAGUCCGAGAGAGGUGAGUGGAAUUCCGAGUGUAGAGGUGAAAUUCGUAGAUAUUCGGAGGAACACCAGUGGCGAAGGCGGCUCACUGGCUCGGUACUGACGCUGAGGUGCGAAAGCGUGGGGAGCGAACAGGAUUAGAUACCCUAGUAGUCC